rnacentral:rRNA from 1 species
CGCGUAGGCGGACAGUUUAGUCAGAGGUGAAAGCCCAGGGCUCAACCUUGGAAUAGCCUUUGAUACUGGCUGUCUUGAGUACGGGAGAGGUGUGUAGAACUCCGAGUGUAGAGGUGAAAUUCGUAGAUAUUCGGAAGAACACCAGUGGCGAAGGCGACACACUGGCCCGUUACUGACGCUAAGGCGCGAAAGCGUGGGGAGCAAACA